AACGAACGCUGGCGGCAUGCCUAACACAUGCAAGUCGAACGAUGGUCUUCGGGUCAUAGUGGCGCACGGGUGCGUAACGCGUGGGAAUCUGCCCUUGGGUUCGGAAUAACAGUUGGAAACGACUGCUAAUACCGGAUGAUGUCGAUAAGACUAACCAUUUAUCGCCAGAGGAUGAGCCCGCGUCGGAUUAGCUAGUUGGUGGGGUAAAGGCCUACCAAGGCGACGAUCCGUGGCUGGUCUGAGAGGAUGCUCAGCCACGCUGGGACUGAGACACGGCCCAGACUCCGAGGGGAGGCAGGAGUGGGGAAUAUUGGAGACUGGGCGCAAGCGUGAUGCAGCCAUGUCGCGUGAGUGAUGAAGGCCUUAGGGUUGUACAGCUCUCUUACACGGGAAGAUAAUGACUGUACCGGGAGAAUAAGCCCCGGCUAACUCCGUG
rnacentral:rRNA from 1 species